rnacentral:rRNA from 1 species
CGAAAGCCUGACGGAGCAACGCCGCGUGGGGGAGGAAGGCUCUUGGGUUGUAAACCCCUUUUCUCAGGGAAGAAGCUCUGACGGUACCUGAGGAAUCAGCCUCGGCUAACUCCGUGCCAGCAGCCGCGGUAAUACGGAGGAGGCAAGCGUUAUCCGGAAUUAUUGGGCGUAAAGCGUCCGCAGGUGGCUAUUUAAGUCUGCUGUCAAAGACCGGGGCUCAACUCCGGGUCGGCAGUGGAAACUGGAUAGCUAGAGUACGGUAGGGGUAGAGGGAAUUCCCGGUGUAGCGGUGAAAUGCGUAGAGAUCGGGAAGAACACCGGUGGCGAAAGCGCCCUACUGGACCUGAUCUGACACUGAGGGACGAAAGCUAGGGGAGCG